rfam:Plasmopara halstedii genome assembly, contig: Scaffold_2061
ACCCAUAUAGUCUAGGCGGUCAGGAAAGCUGGCUUUCACUCAGCAGACCCGGGUUCGAGUCCUGGUGUGGGAA